GAUGAACGCUGGCGGCGUGCCUAAUACAUGCAAGUCGAGCGAACAGACGAGGAGCUUGCUCCUCUGACGUUAGCGGAGGACGGGUGAGUAACACGUGGAUAACCUACCUAUAAGACUGGGAUAACUUCGGGAAACCGGAGCUAAUACCGGAUAAUAUAUUGAACCGCAUGGUUCAAUAGUGAAAGACGGUUUUGCUGUCACUUAUAGAUGGAUCCGCGCCGCAUUAGCUAGUUGGUAAGGUAACGGCUUACCAAGGCAACGAUGCGUAGCCGACCUGAGAGGGGGAUCGGCCACACUGGAACUGAGACACGGUCCAGACUCCUACGGGAGGCAGCAGUAGGGAAUCUUCCGCAAUGGGCGAAAGCUUGACGGAGCAACGCCGCGUGAGUGAUGAAGGUCUUCGGAUCGUAAAACUCUGUUAUUAGGGAAGAACAAAUGUGUAAGUAACUAUGCACGUCUUGACGGUACCUAAUCAGAAAGCCACGGCUAACUACGUG
rnacentral:rRNA from 1 species